rnacentral:rRNA from 1 species
GACGAACGCUGGCGGCGUGCUUAACACAUGCAAGUCGAACGGAAAGGCCCUGCUUUUGUGGGGUGCUCGAGUGGCGAACGGGUGAGUAACACGUGAGUAACCUGCCCUUGACUUUGGGAUAACUUCAGGAAACUGGGGCUAAUACCGGAUAGGAGCUCCUGCUGCAUGGUGGGGGUUGGAAAGUUUCGGCGGUUGGGGAUGGACUCGCGGCUUAUCAGCUUGUUGGUGGGGUAGUGGCUUACCAAGGCUUUGACGGGUAGCCGGCCUGAGAGGGUGACCGGACACAUUGGGACUGAGAUACGGCCCAGACUCCUACGGGAGGCAGCGGUGGGGAAUAUUGCACAAUGGGCGGAGGCCUGAUGCAGCAACGCCGCGUGCGGGAUGACGGCCAUCGGGUUGUAAACCGCUUUCGCCUGUGACGAAGCGUGAGUGACGGUAAUGGGUAAAGAAGCACCGGCUAACUACGUG